AAAGAAAAAUUAUUUUAAUAUUUUUAUUUGCAAAAUAAAAGAUUAUUUCAAUU
rnacentral:tRNA from 3 species